AACGAACGCUGGCGGCGUGACUAACACAUGCAAGUCGAACGGGGAAAGUAGCAAUACGAGUACUAGUGGCGCACGGGUGAGGAAUACAUGGGUAAUCUGCCCUCGAGCUCGGGAUAACCAGUCGAAAGACUGGCUAAUACCGGAUAUGACCACAAGAUCUGAGGAUCAAGGGGUAAAAGGUUUUUCGCUCGAGGAUGAGCCCAUGUGGGAUUAGCUAGUUGGUGUAGGUAACGGCUCACCAAGGCGACGAUCCCUAACUGGUCUUAGAGGAUGAUCAGUCACACUGGAACUGAGACACGGUCCAGACUCCUACGGGAGGCAGCAGUAGGGAAUAUUGCACAAUGGAGGAAACUCUGAUGCAGCGACGCCGCGUGAGUGAUGAAGGCCUUCGGGUCGUAAAGCUCUGUCGUAUGGGACUAACAAAAUAGAAGGUACCAUGCAAGAAAGGAUCGGCUAACUUCGUGCCAGCAGCCGCGGUAA
rnacentral:rRNA from 1 species